GGUGGCUCAGUGGUAGAGUGCUUGCCUUGGAUGUAUGAGGCCCUGGGUUCAAUUCCUCAGCACCA
rnacentral:tRNA from 1 species